rnacentral:sRNA from 1 species
ACCCGCUUCGGGUGCUGUGCGUGGCACCCGAAGCAUCAGAGACAGACUGUGCCCCGGGAAGUUCUGGGCACUUCAGGGCGUU